GAUGAACGCUAGCGGCAGGCUUAAUACAUGCAAGUCGAGGGGCAUCAAGGUACACGAAAGUGUAUUGUUGGCGACCGGCGGACAGGUGAGUAAUAGGUAGGUAACCUACCUCAUACUGAGGCAUAGCUGGGAGAAAUUCCAGGUAAUUCCUCAUGAGGUUAUAUGACACAUGUGAUAUAAUCAAAGGUAUCGCAAGGUACUGGUAUGAGAUGGGCUUACUGACCAUUAGCUAGUUGGUGAGAUAAGAGCUCACCAAGGCGAAGAUGGUUAGGGGUUUUGAGAGAGAGAUCCCCCACAUUGGAACUGAGAUACGGUCCAGACUCCUACGGGAGGCAGCAGUAGGGAAUAUUGGGCAAUGGGCGGAAGCCUGACCCAGCCAUGCCGCGUGAAGGAAGACGGCCUUAUGGGUUGUAAACUUCUUUACUAUGCGACUAACUAGAUUUACGAGAUAAUUCUAUAGAAUGUAGCAUAGCAAAAGCACC
rnacentral:rRNA from 1 species